GAAAAAUACGCAACUAGAAAGACUACAAAUCCCAAAUGCAUUCUGGGUCGCGUAAGUGAUGUCAUAGGCGAUAAUGCUCCAAGACUGGUUGCGACUCGCAAAGCAAAGAGGAAGAAGAAGACUGAUUUAUUCCCUCCAAUAAAUAUAAGAGAUUGCUCCAAUAAAUGCACUUUUACAAGAUGCCUGUGUGCUUUGUACCAGGUUGUAAUCACAAAAGAGAUCAUACCACUUGCUCGUUCUAUCGCUUCCCGUCUUACGAAAAGACCAGGAGUCGUUGGACCAAACAUAUCAGGUAAUAUACAUGUUUUGCAUGGAACAUAGUCAAGUUAGCUACCUAGCUAGUAGCGAGCAUGUUAGUUAGCAUUACAUUACUUAGCCUUGUCAUUUGUAUUAGCCUUAACAUGAAGUAAACCAAAAAUGUUAAACAGUAAGAGUAGUCAUGAUGGUAAGUAUUUUGUGAAACAUUUGAAGAGUAGCCUAUCGCCCCCUCCACCAGGUGCUAAGGGGGCGGGAGGUAGGCUAACGCCACAUUAGCAUAUUUUCUACUUAAUGCUAUCUGCACAAAUGGUUAACAUUGAACAUUAAAAGAUCAGGCAGUUCAGGGAGAGUCGAAGGAAGGAAGGAAGGCAGGCAGCUUUGCAUGACAUUCUUCUGGACGUGUUUCAUUGUGAUGAUAGUGAGAGUGAGUCAAUCUGUUUGUUGGAAAGACAGUAGUUGAGUGAUUCCUGAGAGAAAAUUAUUAAAAUAGCUAAUUAUUCAGUGUUGUUACUUUAAAGUGUUGUUACUGACCUUUUUCUCUUUUAUUUUCUUUACCUCACCUGUAACUGCUGAGACCCUGAGGAACAUGCACACUGGACUGACCUGCUCUGGCAACCUGAUUUCCACUCUCCAUCCAUCACCAUUCUCUGUUCCUGCAGGUCCUGCUUGCUAAUCAAUAUUCAUAUUUUUUUACACAAUUACAAAUAAAGUCAAUGUAUUGUAUGACAUGAAGUUGUGCUUCAUUCUGAGUCAAUAAUAAAUUCAUUCUGCCUUCAA